AGUGAACGCUGGCGGUAGGCCUAACACAUGCAAGUCGAACGGCAGCACAGUAAGAGCUUGCUCUUACGGGUGGCGAGUGGCGGACGGGUGAGGAAUACAUCGGAAUCUACUUUUUCGUGGGGGAUAACGUAGGGAAACUUACGCUAAUACCGCAUACGACCUACGGGUUAAAGCAGGGGAUCUUCGGACCUUGCGCGAUUGAAUGAGCCGAUGUCGGAUUAGCUAGUUGGCGGGGUAAAGGCCCACCAAGGCGACGAUCCGUAGCUGGUCUGAGAGGAUGAUCAGCCACACUGGAACUGAGACACGGUCCAGACUCCUACGGGAGGCAGCAGUGGGGAAUAUUGGACAAUGGGCGCAAGCCUGAUCCAGCUAUACCGCGUGGGUGAAGAAGGCCUUCGGGUUGUAAAGCCCUUUUGUUGGGAAAGAAAAGCAGCAGGUUAAUACCCCGCUGUUCUGACGGUACCCAAAGAAUAAGCACCGGCUAACUUCGUG
rnacentral:rRNA from 1 species